GAUGAAGAACGUAGCGAAAUGCGAUAAGUAAUGUGAAUUGCAGAAUUCAGUGAAUCAUCGAAUCUUUGAACGCACAUUGCGCCCGCCAGUAUUCUGGCGGGCAUGCCUGUUCGAGCGUCAUUUCAACCAUCAAGCCCCCGGGCUUGUGUUGGGGACCUGCGGCUGCCGCAGGCCCUGAAAAGCAGUGGCGGGCUCGCUGUCACACCGAGCGUAGUAGAUUUUAUCUCGCUCUGGGCGUGCUGCGGGUUCCGGCCGUUAAACCACCCUUUUAACCCAAGGUUGACCUCGGAUCAGGUAGGAAGACCCGCUGAACUUAAGCAUAUCAAUAAGCGGAUGA
rnacentral:misc_RNA from 1 species